rnacentral:rRNA from 1 species
AGUGAACGCUGGCGGCAGGCCUAACACAUGCAAGUCGAGCGGCAGCGGGUUCCCGCGAGGGGAUGCCGGCGAGCGGCGGACGGGUGAGGAACACAUCGGAAUCUGCCUGGUUGUGGGGGAUAACGUAGGGAAACUUACGCUAAUACCGCAUGCGACCCUGAGUCGACGGACUUGGGGUGAAAGUGAGGGACCUUCGGGCCGUCACGCGACCAGAUGAGCCGAUGUCGGAUUAGCUAGUUGGCGGGGUAACGGCCCGCCAAGGCGACGAUCCGUAGCUGGUCUGAGAGGAUGAUCAGCCACACUGGGACUGAGACACGGCCCAGACUCCUACGGGAGGCAGCAGU